rnacentral:lncRNA from 1 species
GGAGUCUCAUUCUGUCGUCUAGGCUGGAGUGCAAUGCAUCCAUGACCUUGCUUCACAUACACAACAUCCUUUCUUAUCUUCUGAAGAUAUGAAUGAAAGUGAAAGCAAAGAAGAGGACCUUAAGUCCUGAACUUCCAAGGCCAACUUGACUCGAAAUCCUCUAGUCUAUAAUCCAUAGAAACCUGACUUCUGUCUCCCCAUGCCUACAAAACUACUUUUUCAAAGAACAUUAGUGGUCACCACAUUGGUAAAGUAUUAAUAAAUAAACAUGUUUUAGUUCUAAUCACA